rnacentral:rRNA from 1 species
UACGUAGGUGGCGAGCGUUGUCCGGAUCUACUGGGCGUAAAGGGAGCGUAGGCGGACUUUUAAGUGAGAUGUGAAAUACUCGGGCUCAACUUGAGUGCUGCAUUUCAAACUGGAAGUCUAGAGUGCAGGAGAGGAGAAUGGAAUUCCUAGUGUAGCGGUGAAAUGCGUAGAGAUUAGGAAGAACACCAGUGGCGAAGGCGAUUCUCUGGACUGUAACUGACGCUGAGGCUCGAAAGCGUGGGGAGCAAACAGG